rnacentral:rRNA from 1 species
CGGGACACGUGGUAUCCUGUCUGAAUAUGGGGGGACCAUCCUCCAAGGCUAAAUACUCCUGACUGACCGAUAGUGAACCAGUACCGUGAGGGAAAGGCGAAAAGAACCCCGGCGAGGGGAGUGAAAAAGAACCUGAAACCGUGUACGUACAAGCAGUGGGAGCACGCUUAGGCGUGUGACUGCGUACCUUUUGUAUAAUGGGUCAGCGACUUAUAUUCUGUAGCAAGGUUAACCGAAUAGGGGAGCCGAAGGGAAACCGAGUCUUAACUGGGCGUUAAGUUGCAGGGUAUAGACCCGAAACCCGGUGAUCUAGCCAUGGGCAGGUUGAAGGUUGGGUAACACUAACUGGAGGACCGAACCGACUAAUGUUGAAAAAUUAGCGGAUGACUUGUGGCUGGGGGUGAAAGGCCAAUCAAACCGGGAGAUAGCUGGUUCUCCCCGAAAGCUAUUUAGGUAGCGCCUCGUGAAUUCAUCUCCGGGGGUAGAGCACUGUUUCGGCAAGGGGGUCAUCCCGACUUACCAACCCGAUGCAAACUGCGAAUACCGGAGAAUGUUAUCACGGGAGACACACGGCGGGUGCUAACGUCCGUCGUGAAGAGGGAAACAACCCAGACCGCCAGCUAAGGUCCCAAAGUCAUGGUUAAGUGGGAAACGAUGUGGGAAGGCCCAGACAGCCAGGAUGUUGGCUUAGAAGCAGCCAUCAUUUAAAGAAAGCGUAAUAGCUCACUGGUCGAGUCGGCCUGCGCGGAAGAUGUAACGGGGCUAAACCAUGCACCGAAGCUGCGGCAGCGACGCUUAUGCGUUGUUGGGUAGGGGAGCGUUCUGUAAGCCUGCGAAGGUGUGCUGUGAGGCAUGCUGGAGGUAUCAGAAGUGCGAAUGCUGACAUAAGUAACGAUAAAGCGGGUGAAAAGCCCGCUCGCCGGAAGACCAAGGGUUCCUGUCCAACGUUAAUCGGGGCAGGGUGAGUCGACCCCUAAGGCGAGGCCGAAAGGCGUAGUCGAUGGGAAACAGGUUAAUAUUCCUGUACUUGGUGUUACUGCGAAGGGGGGACGGAGAAGGCUAUGUUGGCCGGGCGACGGUUGUCCCGGUUUAAGCGUGUAGGCUGGUUUUCCAGGCAAAUCCGGAAAAUCAAGGCUGAGGCGUGAUGACGAGGCACUACGGUGCUGAAGCAACAAAUGCCCUGCUUCCAGGAAAAGCCUCUAAGCAUCAGGUAACAUCAAAUCGUACCCCAAACCGACACAGGUGGUCAGGUAGAGAAUACCAAGGCGCUUGAGAGAACUCGGGUGAAGGAACUAGGCAAAAUGGUGCCGUAACUUCGGGAGAAGGCACGCUGAUAUGUAGGUGAAGUCCCUCGCGGAUGGAGCUGAAAUCAGUCGAAGAUACCAGCUGGCUGCAACUGUUUAUUAAAAACACAGCACUGUGCAAACACGAAAGUGGACGUAUACGGUGUGACGCCUGCCCGGUGCCGGAAGGUUAAUUGAUGGGGUUAGCGCAAGCGAAGCUCUUGAUCGAAGCCCCGGUAAACGGCGGCCGUAACUAUAACGGUCCUAAGGUAGCGAAAUUCCUUGUCGGGUAAGUUCCGACCUGCACGAAUGGCGUAAUGAUGGCCAGGCUGUCUCCACCCGAGACUCAGUGAAAUUGAACUCGCUGUGAAGAUGCAGUGUACCCGCGGCAAGACGGAAAGACCCCGUGAACCUUUACUAUAGCUUGACACUGAACAUUGAGCCUUGAUGUGUAGGAUAGGUGGGAGGCUUUGAAGUGUGGACGCCAGUCUGCAUGGAGCCGACCUUGAAAUACCACCCUUUAAUGUUUGAUGUUCUAACGUUGACCCGUAAUCCGGGUUGCGGACAGUGUCUGGUGGGUAGUUUGACUGGGGCGGUCUCCUCCUAAAGAGUAACGGAGGAGCACGAAGGUUGGCUAAUCCUGGUCGGACAUCAGGAGGUUAGUGCAAUGGCAUAAGCCAGCUUGACUGCGAGCGUGACGGCGCGAGCAGGUGCGAAAGCAGGUCAUAGUGAUCCGGUGGUUCUGAAUGGAAGGGCCAUCGCUCAACGGAUAAAAGGUACUCCGGGGAUAACAGGCUGAUACCGCCCAAGAGUUCAUAUCGACGGCGGUGUUUGGCACCUCGAUGUCGGCUCAUCACAUCCUGGGGCUGAAGUAGGUCCCAAGGGUAUGGCUGUUCGCCAUUUAAAGUGGUACGCGAGCUGGGUUUAGAACGUCGUGAGACAGUUCGGUCCCUA